rnacentral:lncRNA from 1 species
GGGUGAGCAGAGAGAAAGGAAGCAAAAAAAUAAUUGAUAGCACAGGAGAUAAAAUAAUGUGCUAUAAAACGAGUGUGAUUUUAUUUUAAAUACACAUUAAGGCAUUGUGCCGUGUCUUAAAAGGGAGGCUGUUUUCUUUGUAUCUUCGGUUGCAUUUUCUGCUCUUGGCUACUAUCUCUCAUUGCAGCUUGAGAUACCAUAGUAUGCUGCCUUGCUUACUUGGGUAUUGAUAAGAAGGAUUGUGCUCUUGUUAAUCAUUAAUAAGUUCCAGCUGCUUAAUUUAAUAAUUUGUUCCCACGUGAUAAUAUUUUUGCUCUGCUUGGGGUGAUUUCAUCGCAUCUUGAAUCAGCAAAAAGAACAACAACAACAAGCAACUGAUGGACUUUUAGCUUCUUUCUUUCGGUCACGAGCGAGGCGAGCAAGUCCAUCCCGACCUGCCCCACGUCAUGACAAAAAUAGAAAAGCACAUUUAAAAUGUCCCCAAAGGCCCUUUCGGGCGGCUUGGUUUGAAGUGGCUGAGUGGGCAGGGAGGGCACUCCCAGGGAUGCUGCCGGGGAGCCGAGGCCCUUUUGAGCAGAAGUGCCUUAAGGGAAGGACCGCAGCCCCAGAGCUGGGCCCGAGUGGCUGGCGCAGCACUUCCCGCCCGGCGCUCGGGGAGACACUGUUACAGUCCGCGCAGACACGAGCCCGGGGAUGGAGAGUUCUUCCGGCACCGCGGGCCGGACUCCUCGGGCCGCUCCGAGGCCCCUUCCCGGGGGGGGCCGGGGCUUUGGGCUCCGGCCGGUGCUUCUCCGGGGGAGGGGAGGAGGGCGUGUUUCACCGGGACCUCACGUGCACCGGUCGGUUCCACGCCUGAAUUCGAAUGUGAGUCUGGAAAAAGCUGGACCCCCCCCCCCCCCCCGGCGCCAGCCCCGAAAAGGCGGAGGGGGCGGAGGGCGACGGCUCCGCGCGCCGGCUGCCCCCGCGGGUGCUGCCCGGUCCCGGGGCGAGAGCGCGGACCGUGGCCGCCGGCCGGCCUCCCCAGACCGAGCCGGGAGCCGGGCGCCGUUUCCCCAGCUGGCCGAGCGUUAGGCGGCCCGGGGCUUGGGGGUCAGAGCGCUCGGCUUCGCUUGGUCACCGAGCGGCUUUUACAAUGCGGCCCCGCAGUCUCCGCCGGGAAGCGCCUGGACCGGCGGCGCUAACGGGGCAGCGGGAGCGAGGGCUGGCGGCGCGCUGCUUCCUCCCCCAAGGAACGGAUAUUUCUGGCUGACAGCGCGCUGUAGGGGUGGGGGCGGGGGGCGUCUCUGGAGCUGCUGCCCCGGCCCGUCCUCAGACUGGCUGGAGCGAGGCGGAGGGCGAGGAGAAGACCUGCACGGACGGAAAGGAGCGGGAGGGCCGGAAUGCCUUUGCGGGCUCCGUCCCCCCCCCCCCUCUCUCCCCCUCCCGGCCCGCGAUCUGUCUGUCCCUCUGCACGCCGCAGAAGCCAUUUUACAGACUCGGCUCCGCCGCGAGCUCCGCUCGCCUUUCACAGGUGCCGAGCCGCUGUGGGGGCGGGGGCCGGGAAGCCGGGCAGGGGCUGGGCAGACGAGGGCAGCCCGGGAGCCCGAGCCGGCUGGCCGGCACCUGAGGCUCCCGGCCCGGCCCAGGUCCGCCCCGCCCGGUGCCGAGCGCGGGUCCGGCUCCGGGGUCAGCGUGCCCGCCGCGGGGGGGGCGGGGGUGCAACCCCCACUCUCCAUUUUGGAGGUCUUUGCAGCUGGAAGCUCCGCCGCUGCGCAAAGCCCGCCGCUUCCCCUCCUCCCCCGUCCUCCGCUCCGCGGAUGCUCGGGGACGGCUCUCUUCCAUGCGAGCCGGCAAACAUUUAUUGGGCGCCCACGGUUUGUCGGGAGCAGCUCCGGCGCACCCCGGGGAGCGCGCGUGUGCUUAGCCUGGGCGGCCUGUCCAGGUGCCCUCCGGCAGUGCUCCUGCCUCCGGAGGUCGGGGGGACCGAGGGCAGCGCGGGGCGCGCGGCUCCCGGCCGCCGACUUUCUCCCCGAGCUCCCGCCCCCGCCGCCUCUCCCACGCCGCCCUCCAGCCUCCUCCGGCCCCGAGGCCCAAGGUCACGGCCACGAUCCUUCUGGAUCGCCGCCGGGCCGCCCCCCCGCCCUCGGCCUCUCCCCCAUCCCGAGAACGAGGAGCCCGUCCCGGCGGGAGGGGGAGCCGGGGCGGGGGGAGAUGCCGGCCCCCGAAAGCCGGUCCCCGGGCGCCUGGCGGCCGCGGCCAGGAAACGCCUGCCCC